AAUCAUACUUAAGUACAAGUGUGUGAGAUUAGUAGAUCACAUUGAGGCACUACACGAGAGGCGCCAUGUUUCCAGCGACAUCUUGUGCCCUUCAAGUUCAGAGUUAUUAAAAAUCACAUGGCCAUUUGGAA